GAUGAACGCUGGCGGCGUGCCUAAUACAUGCAAGUCGAGCGAACAGACGAGGAGCUUGCUCCUCUGACGUUAGCGGCGGACGGGUGAGUAACACGUGGAUAACCUACCUAUAAGACUGGGAUAACUUCGGGAAACCGGAGCUAAUACCGGAUAAUAUAUUGAACCGCAUGGUUCAAUAGUGAAAGACGGUUUUGCUGUCACUUAUAGAUGGAUCCGCGCCGCAUUAGCUAGUUGGUAAGGUAACGGCUUACCAAGGCGACGAUGCGUAGCCGACCUGAGAGGGUGAUGGGCCCCACUGGAACUGAGACACGGUACAGACUCCUACGGGAGGCCGAAGUAGGGACUCUUCCGAAAUGGGCGAAAGCCUGAAGGAGCAACGCAGCGUGAGUGAUGCAGGUCUUCGUAUCGUAAAACUGUGUUAUUAGGGAAGACCAAAUGUGUAAGUAACUAUGCACGUCUUGACGGUACCUAAUCAGAAAGCCACGGCUAACUACGUG
rnacentral:rRNA from 1 species